rnacentral:rRNA from 1 species
GAGCGNCGCUGGCGGCGUGCCUAACACAUGCAAGUCGAGCGAGAAAAAGGACUUCGGUCCUUCAGUACAGCGGCGAACGGGUGCGUAACACGUGGGCAAUCGGUCCCCCGGAUGGGGAUAACCCAGCGAAAGUUGGGCUAAUACCCAAUAAGACCACGGAAAGUCAUUCCUGAGGUCAAAGGGUGCUUCUUUUGGGGGCAUCCGCUAGGGGAGGAGCCUGCGGCCUAUCAGCUUGUUGGUAGGGUAAUGGCCUACCAAGGCAAAGACGGGUAGCUGGUCUGAGAGGAUGACCAGCCACACGGGGACUGAGACACGCCCCGACUCCUACGGGAGGCAGCAGUGGGGAAUAUUGGGCAAUGGGGGAAACCCUGACCCAGCGACGCCGCGUGGGUGAUGAAGGCCUUCGGGUCGUAAAGCCCUGUCAAGAGGAAUGAACGUCUUUAAGGCAAAUAGCCUUGAAGGAUGACGGUACCUCUGAAGGAAGCACCGGCCAACUCCGUGCCAGCAGCCGCGGUAAGACGGAGGGUGCAAGCGUUGCUCGGAAUCAUUGGGCGUAAAGGGUGCGUAGGCGGCUUCUUAAGUCUGACGUGAAAGCCCAGGGCCCAGCCUUGGAAGUGCGUCAGAAACUGAGAAGCUUGAGUGCCGGAGGGGAGAGUGGAAUUCCUGGUGUAGCGGUGAAAUGCGUAGAUAUCAGGAGGAAUACCGGUGGCGAAAGCGACUCUCUGGACGGCAACUGACGCUGAGGCACGAAAGCGUGGGUAGCAAACAGGAUUAGAUACCCUGGUAGUCCACGCUGUAAACGAUGGACACUAGGUGUCGGGGGUAUCCACUCCCUCGGUGCCGCCGCUAACGCAUUAAGUGUCCCGCCUGGGAAGUACGGCCGCAAGGUUAAAACUCAAAGGAAUUGACGGGGACCCGCACAAGCGGUGGAGCAUGUGGUUCAAUUCGACGCAACGCGAAAAACCUUACCUGGGUUUGACAUGUCGGUGGUAGGAAACCGAAAGGGGCCCGACCCCGCAAGGGGAGCCGACACAGGUGCUGCAUGGCUGUCGUCAGCUCGUGUCGUGAGAUGUUGGGUUAAGUCCCGCAACGAGCGCAACCCUCGCCCCUAGUUGCCAACGGGUCAAGCCGGGAACUCUAGGGGGACUGCCCCGGUUAACGGGGAGGAAGGUGGGGAUGACGUCAAGUCAUCAUGGCCUUUAUGCCCAGGGCUACACACGUGCUACAAUGGCCGGUACAAAGGGUCGCAAACGCGCGAGCGGAAGCUAAUCCCAAAAAGCCGGUCCCAGUUGGGAUCGCAGUCUGCAACUCGACUGCGUGAACGCGGAAUCGCUAGUAAUCGCGAAUCAGCAGGUCGCGGUGAUACGUUC